rnacentral:rRNA from 2 species
UGCAUAUCAAUAAGCGGAGGAAAAGAAACCAACAGGGAUUGCCUCAGUAACGGCGAGUGAAGCGGCAAGAGCUCAAAUUUGAAAGCUGGCUCCUUCGGGGUCCGCAUUGUAAUUUGCAGAGGAUGCUUCGGGAGCGGCCCCCAUCUAAGUGCCCUGGAACGGGCCGUCAUAGAGGGUGAGAAUCCCGUCUGGGAUGGGGUGCCCGCGCCCGUGUGAAGCUCCUUCGACGAGUCGAGUUGUUUGGGAAUGCAGCUCUAAAUGGGUGGUAAAUUUCAUCUAAAGCUAAAUACUGGCCGGAGACCGAUAGCGCACAAGUAGAGUGAUCGAAAGAUGAAAAGCACUUUGAAAAGAGAGUUAAACAGCACGUGAAAUUGUUGAAAGGGAAGCGCUUGCGACCAGACUCGCUCGCGGGGUUCAGCCGGCCUUCGGGCCGGUGUACUUCCCCGCGGGCGGGCCAGCGUCGGUUUGGGCGGCCGGUCAAAGGCCCUCGGAAUGUAACGCCCCCCGGGGCGUCUUAUAGCCGAGGGUGCCAUGCGGCCAGCCCGGACCGAGGAACGCGCUUCGGCUCGGACGCUGGCAUAAUGGUCGUAAGCGACCCGUCUUGAAACACGGACCA